UGGGCUAGGUGGUGGCCCAGAUAAGGGAAGCCAGCCUUUGUCUGGAGUCGUGAGAGCUUGUCCCCACACAGGGGCACAGAAGGAGGAGAUUUGAGAGGUUGCUCUGCCACUUUGGCAGUCGUUGAUGUUGGUGACUCAGUUAUAAGGACACACGCUGAUAUUUGACCUGAGUCUGCUAGAAUCCAAUAACUUAGAAGUGGAUCUGCCAGAAAAUACACAAAAUGAAUUUUUGGAAGCUCUGCUGGAAACUGUGAUCCGCGAAGGACUGGGAAAUCCUUGAGAUGCUGAUGGGAGCUCCAGAACCAUUUCCUCAGAAAAAUCACAGCAAUGAAGUAACUUGAAAAACUUUUGAGCUUACGGAUUCCUCUGAGGAAAUGGUAACACAGCUCAUAUUAUUGCCUCUGUCUUGUGUAAACUAUCGGCAUCUGUGUGUGUGCUGUGUACUCAGUCGCUCAGCAAUAUCCAACUCUUUGUGAUCCCACGGACUGUAGUU